rnacentral:rRNA from 1 species
UACGGGGGGAGCAAGCGUUUGUUCGGAUUUACUGGGCGUAAAGGGCGCGUAGGCGGCCACCGCAAGUCAAUUGUGAAAUCUCCGGGCUUAACUCGGAAAGGUCAACUGAUACUGCGGGGCUAGAGUGCGGAAGGGGCAACUGGAAUUCUCGGUGUAGCGGUGAAAUGCGCAGAUAUCAGGAAGAACACCAACGGCGAAGGCAGCUCGCUAGGACGGUACUGACGCUGAGACGCGAAAGCGUGGGGAGCGAACAGG